rnacentral:rRNA from 1 species
GAGCACGUAGGUGGGUUUGUAAGUCAGAUGUGAAAGCCUCCUGUUCAACGGAAGAAUUGCAUCUGAAACUGCGAGUCUUGAGUGUAGGAGGGGAGAAUGGAACUUCUGGUGGAGCGGUGAAAUGCGUAGAUAUCAGAAGGAACUCCGGCGGCGAAAGCGAUUCUCUGGCCUAUUACUGACACUCAGUGUGCGAAAGCUAGGGGAGCAAACGGGAUUAGAUACCCCGGUAGUCCUAGCCGUAAACGAUGGGCACUAAGUAGAGGGGUUUU